UGACAGUCUGUAAGAUGGCCAGCCAAUU
rnacentral:piRNA from 1 species